CAGGUAGGAUUACCCGCU
rnacentral:rRNA from 2 species